GGUGAGAUGGCCGAGCGGUCUAAGGCGCCAGACUAAGGACAACUUACAAGGUCAUCAGCUUAUCUGGUCUCUUUGGGGGCGGGGGUUCGAAUCCCCCUCUCAUCA